UACGAAGGGGGCUAGCGUUGCUCGGAAUCACUGGGCGUAAAGGGUGCGUAGGCGGGUCUUUAAGUCAGGGGUGAAAUCCUGGAGCUCAACUCCAGAACUGCCUUUGAUACUGAAGAUCUUGAGUUCGGGAGAGUGAGUGGAACUGCGAGUGUAGAGGUGAAAUUCGUAGAUAUUCGCAAGAACACCAGUGGCGAAGGCGGCUCACUGGCCCGAUACUGACGCUGAGGCACGAAAGCGUGGGGAGCAAACAGGG
rnacentral:rRNA from 1 species